rnacentral:tRNA from 2 species
GGGGUAUUAGUAUAGUGGUCAUUAUUCGUGGCUUCCAACCAUGAGACAAGGGUUCGACUCCCUUAUACCCCU